UGUAAACUGCUUUUAUAUGUGACGAAUAUGACGGUAGCAUAUGAAUAAGGAUCGGCUAACUCCGUGCCAGCAGCCGCGGUCAUACGGAGGAUCCAAGCGUUAUCCGGAAUUACUGGGCGUAAAGAGUUGCGUAGGUGGCAUGGUAAGUAGAUAGUGAAAGCGUGUGGCUCAACCAUACAUCCAUUAUCUAAACUGCCAAGCUAGAGUAUGAGAGAGGUAGAUGGAAUUCCCAGUGUAGGAGUGAAAUCCGUAGAUAUUGGGAGGAACACCGAUGGCGUAGGCAGUCUACUGGCUCAUUACUGACACUAAGGCACGAAAGCGUGGGGAGCAAACGGGAUUAGAUACCCCGGUAGUCCACGCCGUAAACUAUGGAUGCUAGCUGUUAGAAGUAUCGACCCUUCUAGUAGCGAAGCUAACGCGUUAAGCAUCCCGCCUGUGGAGUACGGUCGCAAGACUAAAACAUAAAGGAAUUGACGGGGACCCGCACAAGCGGUGGAGCGUGUUGUUUAAUUCGAUGGUAAGCGAAGAACCUUACCCAGGCUUGACAUCCUUGGAAGGCUUCCGAAAGGAAACUGUGCCCUCGGGAACCAAGUGACAGGUGAUGCAUGGCCGUCGUCAGC
rnacentral:rRNA from 1 species